GCCACAACUGCUGGUGUGAAGGGGAAGAGGGGAAAAUAGAGUUUUAUAAUCCUGCUCAGCACCAGAGCUUCUCUGUAGCAUAUCCUAGUUGCUGUAGAUCUUAAGAUGAUUGGAACAUUUUCUGCGGUCAUCUGUCGGGUAAAUAAGUUUUAACAAAGGAUUGGAGUCAGAACAUUCAUUAAGGACUGCAGAAGAAGAGAUGAGGCAUUGGCUACUUGUGAUAUGUUGAAGCCCAUGAGGAUAUAAGGAUGGAAGCAGUAGGCCACAGAGAGGCAGGAAGAAGAGAAAAUCAGAGAGGAGUCUGACGUCAUUUAAAGACCUGGUAAAAGCGCUGCUGAAAUUCAAGCCAUGAACCUCAGCUGAAAACAGAGAGAAGAAGGAGCCCUUUCUCGUCAGAAGUCACAGAAUUUUGAGAGAGGUGCAUGGUAAAGAACAAAGCUUUUUAAGAAAUCAUAUCCCAGGGACAAUAACAAGUUAAUCUGUCAGACAGUGUACAAAUAAUAGUGAGCUAUCGCCUGGAAUCGCCCGUCCACAAAUUAACAAAAUAGCCCCUUUUUAUUUACAAUUCAGCCACCCUGCCUGUUGAAUUGAAAAUGCACAAAGCUGCCACAUCAAAUGAUCCAACAGCGGGCGGCUCUCCCAGCCCGUCAUAGGUUGCUUUGCAUAGUCAUCCUACCGCCGACCAACGAAUAAGCAGCUGCUACAUUUGUUAUGUCUUCACACCCCUUUUGCUGUCGGCCCUAUGGAAUCGUUGCAGUGCACACUGCAUUCUCAGUGUGUUCGAUAUGAUGCAUGCACUGGCGUGUAGCUCUGUAUUAAUGGAAUUGUUUCCUUCAGCAGCUGUAUGCAGCAGCCGUAUGUGAUACAAUGCACAAUAGGAACUGCUCACUUCUACACUGUUUCUAGGGAAGUAAAGGGUUACUAGGGGAAGUGUGUUUUAUCACUCACUCAGCAUUGCACAAAAAUAGUCCAGAAGACCAAAAUGCUUGCAUUAAAGUCUCGACAUCUCUUUAAUUAAUUUUAGUACCACAGGGAUCUAUUUUGGAUAUUGUUAGCAUCUGUUAUCUGUGCAAUGUAUGCAGAGUCGAUAGCAUCUUAGGAGGUGCAGGAAACAGAGAAAAUCACUCCUCAGAUGCAGGGUGAAGAGCAGCCUGGUGCUGGGGGCGGGGAGCACAUCAGCAUGGGACUCACAGGGCUGGAGAAUGAGACUGCACGGCUGCUGAGAUCAGAAACCAGACAUACUUUUCUCUUUCAAAUGACUCUUUUUCAUGACCAAGCUCUCAGCCAUUCAUUUUUUGUUUUUGUUUUUCUGCUGGUCAGUUUCUUGCUAAUGAAGGUUUCCAGACUGAGAGCCAAAGUGAUUGGGCACCAUUAUUAGCACAGCUCGGAACAUUACCAUUGAUCCACCCAAGCCAUCAGUCCUCACGCAACCAACCGUACUGGUUGUCAUAUAUGACCACCUCAGUGCUACCUGUGCAGAGCUGGAGAGCAUUAGCCAUCUCCUCUGAAGCUAUGAGAAGAGAUGAACAAGGCUAAGGGACACGGUUUAGUGGGCAAUAUUGGUGGUAGGUGGACAGUUGGACUAGAUGAUCUUGGUCUUUUCCAACCUUGGUGAUUCUAUGAUUCUGAUUGCUCCAGCCAUCCCUGAAUUUGACCACAUAGAGACUGGCGGUACCCUUUGGCCACCCCUGCCAUUUUAUCCAUUCACACCCAAAGACCUCUCACCUUCU
rnacentral:lncRNA from 1 species